AGAAUCAACACUGCUGCUGUAAAGAAUAGUGAUUUUAGCACAAACAGCAGAGAUUUUCUUUGGAAAUCUAACUGCCAAUUCAGACAAAUUUGCCAUGGUGUGAUAUACACAAGGCCCUGGCCACGGUGCCUCUUGAUGCUCAAGGUGAACGUAUCAAUAGCAUCUUUCUGCCGAAUAAACAUGAAUCAUCCAACUUUGGCUGGAAAACUGAAGACAUAUAACUAAACAAAGGAGGAUCCCAUUCUACCUGACACGCUGACUCUGAAAUCUCAACUUCGUUAUGACAUUGCCCAACAUCACUAUUGUGGACUAACUGUCCUGGAUUUUUUUCUUCCUUUUUCCUUACUUUUCCUUUGCUUGAUGGAUGUGUUUAUUUUUUGGAUUGUCUUCCACCCAAUAGAUGGACUGAAGCAGUAAUGCUCGGCAGAUUUCUGCCAGCUUCACUGGAAAAUUUACAGCUGUCUUUGGAGGGUAAAACGACCAAAAUCUCAC
rnacentral:lncRNA from 1 species